AGAAUUUCUCCUUCAAUUUUCACUCUACACCCAUGGACUUGUUUGAAGAAACAGUGUCGUUUGAGGUUUUCGACUCCAGAAAGUACCGUGCAGACUCACUACUUGGUUAUUUCGAGCUUGACAUCUAUUCAAUAUACGACAUGCCAGGU